CUGAAUUCUCAUUCUGGAUCCCCAAAAGAAAGGAUCGGAUUACCCAAUCGCUUCUUGCUGGGAAAUUGUCACUGGGAGCAGCUCAGUGUUUCAGUGUCUGCUCUGCAAAAAAGGUGUCAAGAAUGCAAAGGGAGCAAUGCAGAGGAUGCACUUCCAACAUGGGCAUGAAGGGUGCCAUUCUCUUAGGAUGGUGACACAGACACAGAAAAAUCAACUAAGUGCUGAUCUCAAUGCCUGGAAGAUGACUAUUACAUAAGUGCAAUUUUACUCUCUGCGUUAAUCUUUGCUGAGAUAAUUGCUUUCUUUCUAUUUUCAGUGUGUUGGCAAUGCUGUAUGGCCCACUGACAGUAGUUCAAUAAAAACAGAGAUCA
rnacentral:lncRNA from 1 species